rnacentral:lncRNA from 1 species
GGACAGUCCCACCCCACUGAGGGGGUUCCUUACAAGGAAAUAACUGUCCCGCCCAACUCAGGGGAUUCCAUAACAGGAAAGGACAAUCCCUCCACACUCAGGGGGUUCCUUACAAGGAAAUAACUGUCCCGCCCAACUCAGGGGGUUCCUUAGAAGGAAAUAACUGCCCUGCCUCACUCAGGGGUUUCCUUAAAGGGAAAGGACAGUCCCACCACCAGGGAGUCCUUACAAGGAAAGGACUGUCCCUCCAUAUUCAGGGCUUCCCAACAGGGAAAGGACAAUCCCUCCCCACUCAGGGGGUUCCUUACAAGGAAAGGACUGUCCCUCCCCACUCAGGGGCUUCCUUAAAGGGAAAGGACAAUCCCUCCCCACUCAGGGGGUCCUUACAAGGAAAGGACUGUCCCUCCAUAUUCAGGGCUUCCCAACAGGGAAAGGACAAUCCCUCCCCACUCAGGGGGUUCCUAACAAGGAAAGGACUGUCCCUACUGACACAGGGGCUUCUUUAAAGGGAAUGGACAGUCCCACCCCACUGAGGGGGUUCCUUACAAGGAAAUAACUGUCCUGCCCAACUCAGGGGGUUCCUUAACAGGAAAGGACGGUCCCUCCCCACUCAGGGGGUUCCUUACAAGGAAAUGACUGUCCCGCCCAACUAAGGGGGUUCCUAACCAGGAAAGGACUGUCCCUCCUCACACAGGGGCUUCCUUAAAGGGAAUGGACAGUCCCACCCCACUGAGGGGGUUCCUUACAAGAAAGUAACUGCCCUGCCUCACUCAGGGGCUUCCUUAAAGGGAAAGGACAGUCCCACCCCACUGAGGGGGUUCCUUACAAGAAAAUAACUGCCCUGCCUCACUCAGGGGUUUCCUUAAAGGGAAAGGACAGUCCCUACCCACUCAGGGGCUUCCUUAAAAGGAAAGGAGUGUCCUUCCCCACACAGGGGGUUCCUUAACAGGAAAGGAGUGUCCUUCCCCACACAGGGGGUUCCUUAACAGGAAAGGAGUGUCCUUCCCCACUCAGGGGGUUCCUUACAAGGAAAGGACUGUCCCUCCAUAUUCAGGGCUUCCCAACAGGGAAAGGACAAUCCCUCCCCACUCAGGGGGUUCUUAACCAGGAAAGGAGAAUCCCUCCCCACUCGAGGCUUCCUUGCAUGUAAAGGACAGUUCCCUCCCCACUCAGGGGGUUCCUAACCAGGAAAGGACAUUCCCUC